AGUGAACGCUGGCGGUAGGCCUAACACAUGCAAGUCGAACGGCAGCACAGUAAGAGCUUGCUCUUACGGGUGGCGAGUGGCGGACGGGUGAGGAAUACAUCGGAAUCUACUUUUUCGUGGGGGAUAACGUAGGGAAACUUACGCUAAUACCGCAUACGACCUACGGGUGAAAGCAUGGGAUCUUCGGACCUUGCGCGAUUCUAUGUGCCGAUGUCGGAUUAGCUAGUUAGCGGGGUAAAGGCCCACCAAGGCGACGAUCCGUAGCUGGUCUGAGAGGAUGAUAAGCCACACUGGAACUGAGACACGGUCCAGACUCCUACGGGAGGCAGCAGUGGGGAAUAUUGGACAAUGGGCGCAAGCCUGAUCCAGCCAUACCGCGUGAGUGAAGAAGGUCUUCGGGUUGUAAAGCACUUUUGUUGGGAAAGAAAAGCAGCAGGUUAAUACCAUGCUGUUCUGACGGUACCCAAAGAAUAAGCACCGGCUAACUUCGUG
rnacentral:rRNA from 1 species